GAUGAAGAACGCAGCGAAAUGCGAUAAGUAAUGUGAAUUGUAGAAUUCAGUGAAUCAUCGAAUCUUUGAACGCACAUUGCGCCCGCCAGUAUUCUGGCGGGCAUGCCUGUCUGAGCGUCAUUUCAACCCUCAUGCCCCUAGGGCGUGGUGUUGGGGAUCGGCCAAAGCCCGCGAGGGACGGCCGGCCCCUAAAUCUAGUGGCGGACCCGUCGUGGCCUCCUCUGCGAAGUAGUGAUAUUCCGCAUCGGAGAGCGAUGAGCCCCUGCCGUUAAACCCCCAACUUUCCAAGGUUGACCUCAGAUCAGGUAGGAAUACCCGCUGAACUUAAGCAUAUCAAUAAGCGGAGGA
rnacentral:misc_RNA from 1 species